GUGGGGAAUUUUGGACAAUGGGCGCAAGCCUGAUCCAGCAAUGCCGCGUGCAGGACGAAGGCCUUCGGGUUGUAAACUGCUUUUGUACGGAGCGAAACGGCUUUCUCUAAUACAGGGGGCUAAUGACGGUACCGUAAGAAUAAGCACCGGCUAACUACGUGCCAGCAGCCGCGGUAAUACGUAGGGUGCGAGCGUUAAUCGGAAUUACUGGGCGUAAAGCGUGCGCAGGCGGUUUUGUAAGACAGAUGUGAAAUCCCCGGGCUCAACCUGGGACCUGCAUUUGUGACUGCAAAGCUGGAGUGCGGCAGAGGGGGAUGGAAUUCCGCGUGUAGCAGUGAAAUGCGUAGAUAUGCGGAGGAACACCGAUGGCGAAGGCAAUCCCCUGGGCCUGCACUGACGCUCAUGCACGAAAGCGUGGGGAGCAAACAGGAUUAGAUACCCGUGUAGUCC
rnacentral:rRNA from 1 species